GUGUCAGUUUUGUAUUGGUUGAAUAUGUAAAGGAAAAAAAUUUCCGUGUAUCUCUCUCUUCCUUCUCUUUCUUCCAUUUGACAAAAAAAAAAAAUUUCUCCGUCGUGGUACUCGUCGAACAUCGGAGUCCUGCUCCUCAACAAGUACCUGCUGAGCAACUACGGGUUCAAGUACCCGAUCUUCCUCACCAUGUGCCACAUGACGGCAUGCUCGCUGCUCAGCUACGUCUCCAUCGCGUGGAUGAAGAUGGUCCCUAUGCAGAUGAUCCGAUCCCGCGUCCAGUUCCUCAAGAUCGCCGCGCUGAGCCUCGUUUUCUGCGUGUCGGUGGUGUUCGGGAACAUCUCGCUCCGGUUUCGUUUAACCAGGCGAUUGGUGCGACGACGCCGUUUUUACGGCCGUGUUUGCGUAUUUGAUAACGUUGAAGAGGGAGGCUUAUGUGACGCUCGUUCCUGUUGUUACCGGUGUUGUCAUUGCCAGUGCGAGAGAGUGAAGGCAGUUUUUACUUUGGGAGACAUGUUGCUGUGAAGCCUGUUUCUCCGAUAAUUUAUAAAUUUUGUAAAAUUUAAAUUUAAUAAUUCAAUUUCUUAAAAAAAAAAUUUAAGAACUUCA